AUUGAACGCUGGCGGCAGGCCUAACACAUGCAAGUCGAACGAGUGGCGGACGGGUGAGAAAUGUCUGGGAAACCCCCUGAUGGAGGGGGAUAACUACUGGAAACUGUAGCUAACACCGCAUACCCGCAGAUGCGCACAGAUGGGAUUCGCUUGUUGGUGGUGUAAUGGCUCACCAAGGCGACGACCCCUCGCUGGUCUGAGAGGAUGCGCAGCCACACUGGAACUGAGACACGGUCCCGACUCCUACGGGAGGCAGCAGUGGGGAAUAUUGCACAAUGGGCGCAAGCCUGAUGCAGCCAUGCCGCGUGUAUGACGAAGGCCUUCGGGUUGUAAAGUACUUUCAGCGGGGAGGCGUUACCCGCAGAAGAAGCACCGGCUAACUCCGUGCCAGCCGCCGCGGUAAUUC
rnacentral:rRNA from 1 species